GAACGCCCGGGCUUCGGCCUGGUUAUUCAUAACCCUUUGUUGUCCGACUCUGUUGCCUCCGGGGCGACCCUGCCUUCGGGCGGGGGCUCCGGGUGGACACUUCAAACUCUUGCGUAACUUUGCAGUCUGAGUAAACUUAAUUAAUAAAUUAAAACUUUUAACAACGGAUCUCUUGGUUCUGGCAUCGAUGAAGAACGCAGCGAAAUGCGAUAAGUAAUGUGAAUUGCAGAAUUCAGUGAAUCAUCGAAUCUUUGAACGCACAUUGCGCCCCCUGGUAUUCCGGGGGGCAUGCCUGUUCGAGCGUCAUUUCACCACUCAAGCCUCGCUUGGUAUUGGGCAACGCGGUCCGCCGCGUGCCUCAAAUCGUCCGGCUGGGUCUUCUGUCCCCUAAGCGUUGUGGAAACUAUUCGCUAAAGGGUGUUCGGGAGGCUACGCCGUANAACAACCCCAUUUCUAAGGUUGACCUCGGAUCAGGUAGGGAUACCCGCUGAACUUAAGCAUAUC
rnacentral:rRNA from 1 species